CUGCAGCUUAUUAAGCCGACCAGUCCCGCUGCCGUGCGGUUCUGGUGUGCAAUGGCUGCAGACAGUAACUCUGUGGUUGUGUAUGAGGCCCUGGGAGCUGAG